GGGGAUGUCCUGGAUUCGCCAUGGUCAUAAAGUUUAUAUGUGCAUGCCUUGGUUGCGCAAGUAAAAACGCCGAGGUUUUUAAUAACCGGAAACCAAAGAUUACAAUUCGCAGCUUAAGAAAAAGCUCGCGCCAACCUUAAACUCGCUUACAGUUUAAGUACGGCUCAAUUUGGUAAGCUAUACGUGUUAUAGUGUCUUGGAUAACGCAUGAAUAAAAAAGACUGGUAUAAAUAUUUUUUGUUCAUUUAAAGUAUUUAUAUAAGAUUAAGAAAUGAACUAAGCAUGUAGACCGUAUAAAUGGAUUGAUUGUGUACGUGGGUUCGAUUCCCACCAUCUCCACCA
rnacentral:tmRNA from 1 species